GGCAAGAUGGCCGAGCGGUCUAAGGCGCUGUGUUCAGGUCUCGAAUCUGGAUUCGCAGUCCGAAAGGGCGUGGGUUCGAAUCCCACUCUUGUCA